rnacentral:rRNA from 1 species
CCUACGGGUGACAGCAGUGAGGAAUAUUGGUCAAUGGACGAGAGUCUGAUCCAGCCAAGUAGCGUGAAGGAUGACUGCCCUAUGGGUUGUAAGCUUCUUUUAUAAAGGAAUAAAACGAGGCACGUGUGCCUUUUUGCAUGUACUUUAUGAAUAAGGAUCGGCUAACUCCGUGCCAGCAGCCGCGGUAAUACGGAGGAUCCGAGCGUUAUCCGGAUUUAUUGGGUUUAAAGGGAGCGUAGAUGGGUUGUUAAGUCAGUUGUGAAAGUUUGCGGCUCAACCGUAAAAUUGCAAUUGAUACUGGUAGUCUUGAGUACAGUAGAGGUAGGCAGAAUUCGUGGUGUAGCGGUGAAAUGCUUAGAUAUCACGAAGAACCCCGAUUGCGAAGGCAGCUUACUAAACUGAGACUGACAUUGAUGCUCGAAAGUGUGGGUAGCAAACAGGAUUAGAUACCCGGGUAGUC